UGUAGUUUUAGUAGAGAUGGGGUUUCACCAUGUUGGCCAGGCUGGUCUUCAGUUCCUGACCUCAGGUGAUCUGCCCGCCUGGGGCUCUCAAUGUGUUGGAAUUACAGGUGUGAGCCACCGCACCCAGCCCCAUGAUACAUUAUUGAUGUGUGAGGACUCAAUGCGUUAAUUUCUUAAGGUAGCAAAACAGAAUUGAACACUUUCCCGGGUGUGGCCAUUACCUUUUAGAUUCUUCUUGCAUUUCUUCUGCAAAACCUUAUUGCAGGCAUAUUUUUUAACUAUGUCUUUCAAUGAUAUAAUUAACCCUUUGAGAGCAGUGUUUUAAAGUAUUAAUUUUUGUAUCCCCAGAACAUGAGACAGUUCCAGCACAUUGGAGAACUUUAGAUUUUUUUUCCCACAAAUCAAUAAAUUAAUACAUGGUUAAGGUACUUUUGUGAUUUGUUCUCCCACAGGAUAUAAUGCCAAAUAAAGGACAGAGUAGGUAUGCUGUGUGACAUUUUUUCUUUGAGUAUCAAUAGUGAACCUGACAAGAUAUUAGAUCCCAAACAUUGCAUAGUGUUUGUUGUAGUCACUGUAAAAUGAACACAGAAUGUACUUUUUCAGGGAUCAGUGUCGCUCAAGGAUGUGACUGUGGGCUUCACCAGGAGGAGUGGUAGCAUCUGGGCCCUAUUGAGAGGACCCUGUACAUGAAUGUAAUGCUGGAGAACUACAGCCUCCUCAUCUCUGUGGGGUAUUGCAUUAGCAAGCCAAAGGUGGUCUUUAAGUUGCAGCGAGGAGAGGAGGCAUGGAUAUUAGAGGAAGAGUCCUCAAGCCAAAGCCACUUUGACAGGGUCUUGCUCUGCCACUCAGGCUGGAGUACAAUGGUGCAGUCACCAUUUACAAUAGCAUUAAAAAAAUUAAGAUACUUCAGAGUAUAUUUAACCAAAUGAGGCAAGACUUGUACACUGAAACUACAAAACAUUGUUGAAAGAAACUAAAUACUACAAUGUGUGGCGAUUCCUCAAGGAUCUAGAACUAGAAGUACCAUUUGACCCAGCCAUCCCAUUACUGGGUAUAUACCCAAAGGAUUAUAAAUCAUGCUGCUAUAAAGACACAUGCACACGUAUGUUUAUUGCGGCACUAUUCACAAUAGCAAAGACUUGGAACCAACCCAAAUGUCUGUCAAUGAUAGACUGGAUUAAGAAAAUUUGGCACACAUACACCAUGGAAUACUAUGCAGCCAUAAAAAAGGAUGAGUUCAUGUCUUUUGUAGGGACAUGGAUGAAGCUGGAAACCAUCAUUCUCAGCAAACUAUUGCAAGAACAGAAAACCAAACACCGCAUAUUCUCACUCAUAGGUGGGAAUUGAACAAUGAGAACACUUGGACACAGGAAGGGGAACAUCACACACUGGGGCCUGUCGUGGGGUGGGGGGAGGUUGGAGGGAUAGCAUCAGGAGAUAUACCUAAUGUAAAUGAUGAGUUAAUGGGUGCAGCACACCAACAUGGCACAUGUAUACAUAUGUAACAAACCUGCACAUUGUGCACAUGUACCCUAGAACUUAAAGUAUAAUAAAAAAAAGAAACUAAAUACCUAAAUAACUCAUUAUUCACGUUUGUGCUGGUGCUGUUCUAAAUCUACUGCACUGACGUCCUAAAAAGUAUAGCACAUACAAUGAUGUAUCAUACAUAAUACUUGAUGAUGAUAAUAAAUGCCUAUGUUACUGG